rnacentral:lncRNA from 1 species
UGAUAAUUUCAGGAAAGCAUGAGGUGACUGCUCUCUCAGAGGAAGAAAUAGCUGAUAGAUCUUUUCUAUAUAUGUGAACUAGCUGUAAGAAAGACUGAAGAUCUGACCAGAAGUCUUCCUUCUGUGAGGUGCCUUUGUUGGAGAAAAAAAAAGACGAGUCAAAUUGUCUGCCACUGUGGAAAUUCAUUUCAGAUGUGUACAGGGCAGUAUCUACAGCACCAAGUCUUGGACAGAAUGGAAUCUGUUGCAGAUAUUGCUUGUCAACUGAAAGGAAUCUCACUGGAGCAUUGUAAUCUCUCCAAAAUAAUUUUUUCAAUUAUGUUUAACAUACAGGAGUAGAUGACUUAAAAAACCAUCCUAGCUGACAGCCCAAAGGCAACCAAAUGUUACAGUCAAGUCCAUUUUUAAAGGUGCAGAGUGUCCAUAUUAACCCUUCAUCUAUAGAUGGUUGAAAGAAAACAAAAUACACAAAUCGUGCACCUUUUAGAGAUCUCAGCACUUAAACCUGGAGAUGUGGCUGCAGUGUAGAAACGAAGAAACAUGCAGUGUCAAGAUGAGGAAAAUAAAGAACAACACUGAUGCUUUAGCAGCAGCCUCUUGACAAUCCACUUCUGUCAACUGAAGAACAGCGUUUGGAGUAGGAUGACUACAGAUGCUUUACCUCAGAUAAACCACUUUGAAGCCAUGAGUUGUGGCCACAGCCCUCCGUAGACUCUACAUAGAGUUUUCCAGGGGUCAAGUGCUGUAAAAAGUCAUCAACACCAUGAUGCAGAGUUAUGACUGCCUAUUCGGGGUUUCCUCUUAUUCCCAUAAUGGAACGCAUCUCCACAUAUUCAAUCAGCCACGGUUAUUCUGCCUGGCUACACAGACUGAAGCUAAGAUGCACACUGAACAUUUCUGUCACUUUUGCUGUUCUGGCCACUAUGCUUAUUCAAAGAGCUGGAAGGAAAACUCUCAUUAGAGAAAAAUUCAUUUAGCCUUAUGAAAGCCUGCACUGGGCUAAUAGAAGCUUUAGAAAGCUCUCCCUUCUGGUUAGGAUUGUCCUGAUCAAGGCCUGAGGCAGAAUGAAGAGACAGCUUCAUUGUCUGAGUAAACAUUAGGGCUAUAGAUGAACAGGAUUUUGUUCAUAAGGCUAUUGCUCAGAAACUGGAGAAUAAGCCAGUGAGCUGCUGGUAGCAUAGACUGCAGCCCAAGAGAUUGUUGCAAACUUCAAGGUGAAAAUAAGAAUCUGUUUGUGGUUACUGCUCAAGCAAAGGAGACAUCCUCAUGUUGAGGAUCCAGGUGAUGGUAGGUUUCUAUUACAUAGGCUAGGAAAAAAAAAACAAUGCAAAAUGUAAGAUAAGCUAACUUUGGUGGUGGUGGUGGUGGCUGUGUGUAGAUAGGGGUGAGUUGUGCAUGCUUCUGGGCAGCGUAAGUGUGUAAAGGAGAUGAACUGAGGGCACUGUGUGCAUUUGGGUAGUUCCAGUGCAUGUUGCUAUGCUGGGCUGAAAGAGUAUGGCAGUAGACAUCUACUGGGAGUUGAAAAGCAUCAUUCAUGGUGCACAGAUGCUGAGGGUUGCUGCAAGUGGAGUGGUGUCCAAAAGUGGGAGCAGCAUCUUUGUGGUCAUGUGUCAGGAUCCUUCUUUUCCUGGACGGAAGAAUGCCAGCUGUAAAGCACCUAGAACUUAAGAAGUUUCCAGGAGAAAGGAUGCAAUGAAUGUAGACCUCUAGGUGAGUAAAGUGAAAAUGGAAUCCAGGUCCAAACUGAGAUGGAGUGAAUGAAACACGGAGAAUCACUGAAAUGUACUUCAAAUUCCUUCCAAAUUACCCUGUAGCACUUCUGGUUGACAAGGCUUUGUCAGGCCUGUCUCGGUAGGUCUGUCCCGUCAGGAAUCAGGGCAGAGAUGAAGGGACAGAUGGAGGAAAGGAGACAGAGUAUAUGAUCUUGCUCAAGGGACACGUUAAAUUUAAGUUGGUUUUUUUUUUUUUUUUUUUUUUUUUUUUUUUUUUUUUGUUAAUAGCUUCACAGUGUAGUAGUGUCUGACCUUGCACAAAGGAUUUUUAAGUACCUUCCCAUUCUCCCUUUGCUUUGCUUUCUGCUUUUUAUCUUCUUAGAGUAAUAAAGAUGCUCAAGUCCAGAGAGCUCCUAUAGGAAUUGAAUGCUUAAACACACAGCCUUGCUCUGGAAGGGGAGAUGGAGGAAGGAGUGUGAAUAGGAAGGGAGAGGAGAUCUGUCAAAAACAGUUUUAGGACUGAUCAAAGCAGGAAGGAAGGAGAGGAUAGUCUCCUCCUGAAUAUGAUCAUGUCAUUUCAGAAGACUCUUUUCUGCAACGGAGCUAUGCAUCAGUGCUGGGAGUAGUGUACAUUAAGAAUUAGCAUUUGCUUGGAGCUUCUAAUGUGCUGCAGAAAAUAGAAUUGAUCUCCACUCCAGCUACAAGCCUAAGAAGAACUAAGAUACCCUCUGGUUAGGAGAGGGUGCUUACCCUGCUUGGUAGCACAAGGCUGAGAGCAGGAAUAACACUGAAGCUCAGGUGGCUGAGUGUAUGCUUUGUAUGCAGCUACAAAUGCAGAAGUAAAAGGAAUAGCUCACUUCUGUUUAUUGUGUUGCUUCUGCUUUGGCUUACAUUUGUGUCUACUACCAGUGGUAGUUCAGUGUUCUCUGGGAGCACACAAUGGUGGGAAUGAUGCAGAACAAAUGAUUGCCUUACUAAAAUUUUGUCAUAAUCUUUACUUGCUGUGAUGGAUCUCAUCACUGCCUAAAAAUUGGGGCUUUUCUGCCAUAUAUCUAUUUCAGUUCUUUUUAUAUAUCAAAAGGACAGAUGUUUUGAUGGCAGAGGGUCCUUAUACAAGCUGUCUGUAUUGAUAUAUACAGAUGACUUUGUACUGGAGAAGGAAGGUGUGACUGAGCAGUGAGCAGCAGCCACUGAGAUCUUCUGGGAGCACAUCUCAAGUUUGUGCACAGGCCUGACUGAGUGAGUGAUGGCUUGUCAGACACCGGGGGAGUUUGGACAAGUGCCUAGAAUGGAAAUCCAUUGGGAGUUGUUAAACUUAGAAAAGCCUUCUUGAGCUCACAAAAUCUGAAGGCUGCAAAUCGUUAGGGGCUGGAGACUUGACUGUGUGUCCCUGUGUGCCUGCUGUAUUGUCCCCUUCCCAAGGUGUCACAGUGUGCUGGAUUAGGUGGCUCCUUGGUGUGAGCUGCCAUGGUUAUUAGAAAACAGCCACUGCAGAACUAAUGCAUGUCCAAGAUAGCUCUGAGUUCUUACAUCAAUAUGGUUGCGUCUACUUACUGAUUUACUCUUUUCUGAAAGCUCUGGCUUGUUGGAGUUGUAGACAAUGGGGCAGGUGAGUUAAUUCCCCUGAAGCUAAGCUUCCUUGACCAGGGGCAGUGAUAAAUUUGGGUAACCUCUGCCAGACAGAGUGGAAAAUCUUGUGCUAGUGGAUGACUCCUUGAGUAUGCGGAAGUUUGUUAAGAUAUCAGAGGUAAAGAUGAACGUAAAGUGUCAUGUUCCCAUUACCUAAAUGACUCGGGUAGACAAUUCUUGAACUUACUGAAGAGAUUCUCGUACCUGCUGAAGAGACAUUUGUGACAUUUGUGCAUAAGCUACCACAAUUUAUGUACAAUCUUGAAUCAAAGUAAGCUUGAAUUAACAGACACAAGUAUACCCUCAAAAACAUACAGCAUGAGCAUGCUGUUGUGCCCUAGUAAAGCAUUCCAAUGGCAACAGCAGGGGCAGCAAGGAAAAAUUCUGGAGGCUUUGAUUCACAUACUGCAUCUACUGGAAGACUGCUUCUGAAGUGGUGGAAUCCGAGCGCACAGUUGGUAACAGCCCAUGGCUUUAUGGCACUAGCUGCAAAGUGCUAAGAUCAGGAUGAUAGGUGGCAAAAGGAUUUUCUUGUGUCCAGCAGAAAAGGUAGAUUUGAGUCACAGUCAAGAGUCAAGGAGCCACGUUCUUUCUUUUUGCUACAGUGGCCUUUGCUGUACAGCCUUUGUGAAACAGCGUCCCCCGCCCCCCUGGUGCUGUCAAAGCAGUAACAUAGCAUUGAGGUGAUUUUGUAUCUCGCAGCCAAAAGAAAGGAAAAUAGUAUCUUAAGUGACAGGCUCUAAAUACAGUGAAAAGAAAACAUUGAUCAUGCGUGUGCGGUCAUAUUUUUUGUCAUCUCCUUAGACUGCGAAAAGGCGGUCACAGUAAAGCUUACUUAAAAUACGUUCACUCUUUUCCCGUUGACAUUAGGGUUUUGUUUUUUUUUUUUCAGCCAAAGAUCUCUAAGCUGCAAAGAUACACAGGGCUUGACAUUAGUAGGAGCCAUUGGAUAAUGCCA